rnacentral:rRNA from 1 species
GCAAGUCGAACGGUAAAAGCAGAGCUUGCUCUGGCUGACGAGUGGCGGACGGGUGAGUAACGCGUAGGAAUCUGCCAGAUAGGGGGGGAAAAACUGGUGAAAACCAGGCCAAUACCGCAAACGCCCUACGGGGGAAAGCGGGGGAUCUUCGGACCUCGCGCUAUCAGAUGAGCCUGCGUCGGAUUAGCUAGUUGGUAAGGUAAUGGCUUACCAAGGCGACGAUCCGUAGCUGGUUUGAGAGAACGACC